rnacentral:rRNA from 1 species
GAUGAACGCUGGCGGCGUGCCUAAUACAUGCAAGUCGAGCGAACGGACGAGAAGCUUGCUUCUCUGAUGUUAGCGGCGGACGGGUGAGUAACACGUGGAUAACCUACCUAUAAGACUGGGAUAACUUCGGGAAACCGGAGCUAAUACCGGAUGAUAUUUUGAACCGCAUGGUUCAAAAGUGAAAGACGGUCUUGCUGUCACUAAUAGAUGGAUCCGCGCUGCAUUAGCUGGUUGGUAAGGUAACGGCUUACCAAGGCAACGAUGCAUAGCCGACCUGAGAGGGUGAUCGCCCACACUGGACCUGAGACACGGUCCAGACUCCUACGGGAGGCAGCAGUAGGGAAUCUUCCGCAAUGGGCGAAAGCCUGACGGAGCAACGCCGCGUGAGUGAUGAAGGUCUUCGGAUCGUAAAACUCUGUUAUUAGGGAAGAACAUAUGUGUAAGUAACUGUGCACAUCUUGACGGUACCUAAUCAGAAAGCCACGGCUAACUACGUG